CGUAGGGUGCGAGCGUUAAUCGGAAUUACUGGGCGUAAAGCGUGCGCAGGCGGUUUGCUGAGACCGAUGUGAAAUCCCCGGGCUUAACCUGGGAACUGCAUUGGUGACUGGCAAGCUAGAGUAUGGCAGAGGGGGGUAGAAUUCCACGUGUAGCAGUGAAAUGCGUAGAGAUGUGGAGGAAUACCGAUGGCGAAGGCAGCCCCCUGGGCCAAUACUGACGCUCAUGCACGAAAGCGUGGGGAGCAAACAGGAUUAGAUACCCUGGUAGUCCACGCCCUAAACGAUGUCAACUAGUUGUUGGGGAUUCAUUUCCUUAGUAACGAAGCUAACGCGUGAAGUUGACCGCCUGGGGAGUACGGUCGCAAGAUUA
rnacentral:rRNA from 1 species